rnacentral:rRNA from 1 species
AACGAACGCUGGCGGCAGGCUUAACACAUGCAAGUCGAGCGCCCCGCGAGGGGAGCGGCAGACGGGUGAGUAACGCGUGGGAAUCUACCCAUCUCUACGGAAUAACGCAUGGAAACGUGUGCUAAUACCGUAUACGUCCUUCGGGAGAAAGAUUUAUCGGAGAUGGAUGAGCCCGCGUUGGGUUAGCUAGUUGGUGGGGUAAAGGCCUACCAAGGCGACGAUCCACAGCUGGUCUGAGAGGAUGAUCAGCCACACUGGGACUGGGACACGGCCCAGACUCCUACGGGAGGCAGCAGUGGGGAAUAUUGGACAAUGGGCGCAAGCCUGAUCCAGCCAUGCCGCGUGAGUGAUGAAGGCCCUAGGGCUGUAAAGCUCUUUCACCGGUGAAGAUAAUGACGGUAACCGGAGAAGAAGCCCCGGCUAACUUCGUGCCAGCCGCCGCAGUAAUAC